rnacentral:rRNA from 1 species
UGUCGUCAGCUCGUGUCGUGAGGUGUCGGGUUAAGUCCCAUAACGAGCGCAACCCCUAUCAUUAGUUGCCAUCAGGUCAAGCUGGGGACUCUAAUGAAACUGCCUACGCAAGUAGUGAGGAAGCGGGGAUGACGUCAAAUCAGCACGGCCUUACGUCCAGGGCUACACACGUGCUACAAUGGCCGAUACAGAGGGCAGCUACCUGGUGACAGGAUGCAAAUCUCCAAAGUCGGUCUCAGUUCGGAUCGGAGUCUGCAACCCGACUCCGUGAAGUUGGAUUCGCUAGUAAUCGCGCAUCAGCCAUGGCGCGGUGAAUACGUUCCCGGGCCUU